rnacentral:rRNA from 1 species
GGUCAAGUUAUUAAGGGUGCAGGGCGGAUGCCUUGGCACUAGGAGCCGAUGAAGGACGUGAUAAGCUGCGAUAAGCUUCGGGGAGUUGCACGUAAACUUUGAUCCGAAGAUUUCCGAAUGAGGAAACUCACUUAGAGUAAUGUCUAAGUAUCAUUAAGUGAAUACAUAGCUUAAUGAGGGGAACUCAGGGAACUGAAACAUCUAAGUACCUGAAGGAAGAGAAAGAAAUUCGAUUCCGUAAGUAGCGGCGAGCGAACGCGGAUUAGCCCAAACCAAUAAAGUUUUC